CCUACGGGAGGCAGCAGUGGGGAAUCUUGGACAAKGSGGGAAACCCUGAUCCAGCGAUGCCGCGUGUGUGAGAGAAGCCCUUCGGGUUGUAAAGCUCUUUAGGUGGGGAAGAAAGGUAACGAGCGAAUAACUC
rnacentral:rRNA from 1 species